UUUCCGUAGGUGAACCUGCGGAAGGAUCAUUAAAAAUUGGACUCCAUUGGUGAGUUCAUUAAUAAUCCCUACCCUUUGUGAAUUUGUUUGAAUAAUUUUUUUCCAAAAAAAAUUAUUGAAUGUCUUUCCUUGUUUUGGUGGAGCUUGUAAAGUGAAACCAGGCAGGGGAAUGGCAAACAAUAAUUAUUUUUGAAAAAGACCUUUUUUUAAAAUUAAACUUUUUGUAUUCAUUUGUCUAAAAUUAAUUUUUAUAAUAUAAAAACAACUUUUGACAAUGGAUCUCUUGGUUCUCGCAACGAUGAAGAACGCAGCAAAAUGCGAUAAGUAGUGUGAAUUGCAGAAUACGUGAAUCAUCGAAUCUUCGAACGCAUAUUGCACUUUUUUAGUUUACUAAAAAAGUAUGUCUGUUUGAGUAUCAGUAAAAUAUUCUCAUAAAAACAUUGUUUUUUUAUGGUUAUGAGUGUUUUACAACGAUAACAAGUUGUUUCACUUUAAAUUCUUUGUUAUCAAAAAAAUCAUUAAAAGCUAAUUUUAAAGAUUUUUUAAAAUUGGAUAAAAUUUUCCCGUAAAAAGGAAUAACCUAAACAAUUUUAAAAAAUUAAAAUUGGUUUGAUUUUUUUGAAACAAAGGAAAAAAAAGAAAAUUAACUUGAUCUCAAAUCAGAUAAGAGUACCCGCUGAACUUAAGCAUAUCAAUAAGCGGAGGAAAAGAAACUAACUAGGAUUCCCUCAGUAACGGCGAGUGAAGCGGGAAGAGCUCAAAUUUGAAAUCUUCAAGGUUUUACCUUGACGAAUUGUAGUUUAAAGAAGUGUUUCUGUUGGAGUUUUGGUAAAAGUUCUUUGGAAAGGACAUCAUAGAGGGUGAGAAUCCCGUAUUUGACCAUUAUCUCCAGCUUUGUGAUACACUUUCAAAGAGUCGGAUUGUUUGGGAAUGCAGUCCAAAAUGGGUGGUAAAUUUCAUCUAAAGCUAAAUACUGGCGAGAGACCGAUAGCGAACAAGUACCGUGAGGGAAAGAUGAAAAGAACUUUGAAAAGAGAGUUAAACAGUACGUGAAAUUGUCAAAAGGGAAGCGUUUGACACCAGUGUUGUUUUCUCGAAAAUCAAUUAAAAAAGGCCGGAUUUUGUGUUGUAUUGACUUUAUCAGCUUUCUGCACUUUUUCUUGUCUUUUUUAAUGCACUUUUCGUUUAACAAGUCAACAUCAAUUUCUUUUGUUGUAAAAGGGUCAUUGGAAGGUGGCUUUCUUUUCGGAGAAAGUGUUUAUAGCCUUUGGCCUCUGCAAUCGGAGAGAUUGAGGUCUGCAGCGUAGAUCCUUCGGGGUUAGAUACAUUUGUGCUAAGUUAUAGCCUUUCAUAGACAACUUGUUGACUAUGAUCAGUCAUGUAGCUUACUCGCUUAUGCUAUUU
rnacentral:misc_RNA from 1 species